AGGGGGUGCAGCUGCCGGGCAGUGAGGAGGCCCCUCCCCUCGCUACUGCGUCCCUCUUCCUCGCCCCUGCUCUUUCUCCUCUUUCCCUCCCCUCAAGGAAUGGCGCUCCCUCUACCUGUCCCUCAGGCCCCCUCCUCCCUUCUCUUUUGUACACUGGGAGGGGGAACUGGGGUGUGGUGGUGGUGGGCACUGGAGGGAUGAUGGGGUCUGAGGGGUACACAUGGGCGGAGCAGUAGUCUGCGGGGUGCGGCUGGGGGCCGACGGUAAGAGCAGAGGAGACUGAAGAGGGAGAGAGGAUUCCGAGCUGAAGAGCGAAGGGGAAACUGAGGGGGCAAAAGGAUGGCAGAGAGGACGGCUGAGGAGAGAAGGAAGGCAGGGGAGAGAGAAGGUUGAGGAGAUAAAUGGGGCGUUGGGUAAUUUGUCCAAGAUCCGAGGUGAAAGAACGCAUUUGAGGGCCACACGGACUGAGGCAGGGAGAUCCGCACCGACAGGGGGACUUUUCAAACGUCACUAUCCAGACUGAGUAAGAGACGGACAUUUCCUGUUCACACAAUGGAAAAGGGAAAGCAUUAGAGAAGCAAAGGCAGAAAGGGGCGCUAUAGGGAGGUGAGAGAGAGGGUGAAGCGGGAAAGGACAGCUGAAAGGUAAUAGCAAAGAAAAGAGGGAGGGAGAGCCACAGAGAACUAAUGGGGAAGACCAGGAGAAAGGCAGAGUUUUUGUUUGUUUUUAGGGGAGGAAGGAAAGGUGCAGUGAGAGAAGACUACUCCCCAAAGGAAAUAUUGAGAGAAAGGCUCCUCCUCCUCCUCCCUAAGAAGACCCAUUGGCGUCUGCAAAGGGACAGACAAGUCAGGCGCCUCCCCCAGGAGAUAGUCUGCUUCCUCGAGACUGCAACCCAUUUUAUGAGCAGCAGAGGUUACUGAGAAGGAGACCCUUCAAACUGCAGUGGAGAAGAGGCUCCCCACACUCCCCCCUCCUUAAAAAUCCUGCAGAGGAAGGGGGAAAGAAAACCAAAGCAUUCUGUCGCCGCGGCAACCAUAAAACCCCCAGCUAAAUCCAUCUUGUGAGCUCACCGCCCCAUUAAGAUGCAGGGCCAGGCGCUGCGCCAGCCCAGCCACAUUCAUUUGUGCGAAUAAAGGUGGAGGAGGGGGAGGGGAGCGGGCUCUGGAGGGACGGGGAAAUGGCGAGAAGAGGUUAUUUACACCACCGUCCUGACCUUCUGGAGCAGCGCUGGCUCCGAUAAAUAACCCGCUCAGCGCCGUUUCAGAGCAGGAGUGGGAGGUACAGGAAAGGAGCAAGGGCUGGAGGAGAGCCCCCACGCAGGUGCGCGUCUCUGGGUUACUAAUGGCUGAGGCGGGAGCAGGCAGCUGGCUUUGGGGUGGUGGGGGAAGAACUCAGUUCCCUGGGACUCCCACUGAGAAAAUACCAUCCCCACCCCACCCCUGGCGCCAAUUUCCAGGCGAGGGGACGGAGAGAUGCCAAGGAAGCAAACAGCCCCGUAAAUUAGAGAUGGGGGGGGCACUGCUAGAGAGCCUCUGAGGUAGGACGGAAGAAAUAUUUUAAGAUGGGGAGUGGGGGGUGGGUGGCUGGAGGAAUAGGAGUAGCUGCCAAAAAGAGAGUAAGAGAAACAGAAACAUCACACAAAGGCAGUUUGGAAAAAAUGUUUUAUUCCUCUUUGCACAGAGCAGUUUAUAAAGGUGGCUAUCUCCUGGCUCCAUGCAUCUUUUACACAAAAAUGCCCCCUCAAAUAUGCCCAGCUAUCUGCCCCACUUCAGUGUUGGAGAACUGGUGGGGCAGAAUGCUUAACUCUCAGGAAGGUUUUUAAAGACAUUUUUGUGGGGAGGAAGUUCGGGUCAAGGGGAAAGAUUAGACCCAAGAGUGAGUAUUCCAUUCUCCAUCUUCCUGGGGAAAUCCAGAUGCCAAAAGUUUUAUGAGAGUACCUCUCUCAGCGACCUAGAGACAGGGAGAGCACAGACCUACUGCUUGGGUGUAAGGCUGAGACAGAGAGAGGAUAGAGUUAAGCAGCGACUGCAAACCCAAGGCAGAGGAGUAAACACACAUAGGGGAGCUGAGGGGACAGAGAUAGCCUAGAGGACCAAGUCAUAAGCUCCACUCCUUCCCCAGUUCUGAGCAGAAACUCUUCUUCCCAAGACUAGAAUGGAGCUUUAGUGGCUUUGCUGCAGGACACAGAGAAGACAAACCAGGCAAAGAUCCCGCAGGUAGUAAGGGUGGAGAGUUAUGGUAGCUAAGAGAUGGACACUCACCAUAGCAGUUUUGAAGCUAUAUGCCAGGAUCAGAGUAGAGAAUACAUUUUAUAUGACCUAUUCAAUACAAUUAAAUCACUGUUUCUUCCAUGUUGUCCCUUCCCUAUGAGCUAUUCCUAAUGCCAUUUCCAAGGCAGAGGACAGGGCAGUAAGAAGGCACAAAAGAAAACACUGAGGUCAGUAAGUGGGGCUAGGGCUUGCAUUGGAUACAUCCCUACCCAUCCCCACCCCGACUCAUUCUAUAGAAAGGAAUUCUUUCUCCCUCCCCUUUCUGGGCUGUCGGAAUGAGGGCCAGGUAAAAAGGCAAAGGGAGGAAAACACUCAGCACAUUCUUUCUCCUACUUUAAUCUUAAGUGUAGCUACAGCAAAGGGCACAGAAUUUACAAAAAUGUCAGGGCAGGGGAGCAUGUGAGCAUAAUCCAGUCUAGAUAGAAAGAGGGUACCUCCCCUGCCCUGUAUCUAAAUAUGCUGGGAACUUUACUCCCAGAACUGCAAAAAGAAUGAGAAGGAACAG